CAGGUCUUGACAUCCCACUGACCGGCUUAGAGAUAGGCUUUUCCCUUCGGGGACAGUGGUGACAGGUGGUGCAUGGUUGUCGUCAGCUCGUGUCGUGAGAUGUUGGGUUAAGUCCCGCAACGAGCGCAACCCUUGAUCUUAGUUGCCAGCAUUCAGUUGGGCACUCUAAGGUGACUGCCGGUGAUAAACCGGAGGAAGGUGGGGAUGACGUCAAAUCAUCAUGCCCCUUAUGACCUGGGCUACACACGUGCUACAAUGGACGAUACAAAGGGCUGCAAACUCGCGAGGGGGAGCCAAUCCCAUAAAAUCGUUCUCAGUUCGGAUUGUAGGCUGCAACUCGCCUACAUGAAGCCGGAAUCGCUAGUAAUCGUGGAUCAGCAUGCCACGGUGAAUACGUUCCC
rnacentral:rRNA from 1 species